rnacentral:rRNA from 1 species
AUUGAACGCUGGCGGCAUGCCUAACACAUGCAAGUCGAGCGAGCAGCGGACGGGUGAGUAAUAGAGGGGCAUCUGCCUGAUGGAUGGAGAUAACUACUGGAAACGUUAGCUAAUAACGAAUAAGAUCAGAUGAACCCAUAUGGGUUGAGCUUGUAGGUGAGGUAACGGCUCACCUAGGCGACGAUCCCUAGCUGGUCUGAGAGGAUGAUCAGCAACACUGGGACUGAGACACGGCCCAGACUCCUACGGGAGGCAGCAGUGGGGAAUAUUGCGCAAUGGGCGCAAGCCUGAGAGAGCCAUGCCGCGUGUAUGAAGAAGGCCUUCGGGUUGUAAAGUACUUUCAGUAGGGAGGCGUUACCGACAGAAGAAGCACCGGCUAACUCCGUGCCAGCAGCCGCGGUAAUAC